rnacentral:lncRNA from 1 species
AAGAAAAUACUUGAUUUGCUGAACAUGAAAGGAAAAACAGAAAGCAAUCUAUAAUCGACCUAAAAUUGUCUCAAAGGUGUGCAUAUAAUGUAUAUUGCAUUCAUCUAUAUUUUACGGUGAACACAUGUCGACAUCGUCGCAUACUUCUCAGCUACUUUAGCAAUUUCUUGAGCUUGAAUACCAACAAUAUUGCCUACUGCCGUUACGCUUAAACGAGCCUAUAUAAAUAAAAUAUUACAUAAAGACAUAAUUAAUAUUAUUUAAUUAAUAUCAAUUAUAAUAAUAUAAUUGCUUACUGAAUUUUCUUCAAUAACAGCUAAAUUUCCAGCUAAUUGUUCUGUAUUUUCCUAUAAAGAAAAACAUUGAAAAAAUCAUAAAUUUUAUCUAUUUACAUAAUUUAUUUACUUUUUCCUUUAAUUUUUCUUUAUUUUCAUCUUCUUUAAAAUCACUUGAAAUAGUUUCAGUUGGCGAAGUAGUAAUUUUUAUAGAA